CUGGAACCCUUUUAAACGUUUACUUGCAGAUAGCUUUUUUGAGAGGAGGUGAUUGAGGCAGCCAUAUAAUGGCUCCAUAAAGGGAGAGUGGAGAGGUUUAGUGUUUGUGAGAAAGACUUGCUGGUUACCAGUCCGCAGUGAGAAAGGGUCUGCCUCUCCUGGUGCUACACUGACCUGCACCUCAUGAAGAGCAGGGAGCUCAUUUUAUUUCAAAUACAAAAUUACAUGAAUGCAUUUAAUGCAUAAAACAUGUCUACUGGGAUGCUAGGAAAAUGACACUAAUUUUACUGCCUUCAAAUUUUUCCUGAUGAGUUUUCUCAGGGAAGGAUGAGUUAUGGGUACUUAGAUAGAACGGAAAUAUCUAUGACUUAUUCUGGUUACCUUCAAAGUAGGUUAUAAAAUAAGUAUUCUGGACAGGACUUGCAUCAACUUCCUAUUUCUGUGGUAACAAAUGAGCACCAAGUUACGUGCUUAAAUUAGAGUGGUAGAGAUCCAAAGAUAGAAGUUGAUUUCACUUAGACAAAUUAAGGUGUAGUCAUAGUUGGAUCUUAUCUGGCCUUCCAGUGGACAGUCUGUUUCCUUGGCUCUUCUCCACCUUUUAGCAGCCCUUGAUUCUUGGCUUUUGGCUCCAUUUUUGGCUUCAGAAGGCUGAAGAACUUUUGUAUUUAACUUGAUUUGCUCUUAUAGCUAUGAUGUCUCUGGCAUUGGUCCUUAAAUUUUCUCCAUAUAAGAAGUUUAAAUGUUGAAGUUAAAGUUGAACUUCCCGUGCAGGUUUUUCUUAUAGAUGUACUUGGCACCAAGGGGGUAAGUUGGAUAUUGUCCUGAGACCUUGACAAUCAACAUGAAUGAGGCUCUGUCUGCUUCUACCCUGAGCUUUGUUUCAAAUCUCAAAACAUGCCAAUAGAAUGCAGCCUCCUGCAAAAACCUGGAAAGCAGUAUUUUUUGUCUGAAAGAAUUUAUAGUUCAUUAGUAUAAAGAUAGAAACAAAGAGGCAUUGGCCUGUGGUACUAUUGGUGGGAGGUUUAAAAUGAUGAAAGCCUGUAUAUCCCAUAUCUGCUUUUUGUGCAAGGUUUGCCAAGUCAUUUUUUAGGUAUUAGCACAAAUAACAUUAGAAUGUAGAUUAAGGGAACAAAACUUAGACUCAUAUUAACUUGAAUUAGACUAUAACUUCAAUUAGAGACUCUAUGCUCCAACUUUUCUUCCUGAUAUGAGUAAUUUGGCUUCCUUGGUAACAUAACUACAGCCUUAAAAGUGCCCUCCACUAAUACUCUAUGGAGAAUUUUGUGCUUUUGAGGUUAAUGGUUUGCUGCUGCUUGGAAUUCUUUGCAGGUCAACUGUGUUGAUUAGAGUGAUCUGAGGGAUGUCACUGAGGUGGGAUGUCAGCUUAUACUUAGGAAGCAGGGCCCUGUGAUGCUCUAGCACUGACCUGAACUGACUCGGGCAUGUGUAGUCAUUCCGUUGGCAAAGGACGGCUCAGGCGAAAAUAAUAGGAAAAGUGUGUUUGAGCUUUGGUUAAGGCUCCAUUCCAAAGAGGCAAAUCUUUCCAGUGCGGCUGACUUGACUUUGGUGGAUGUUGCUAUUU
rnacentral:lncRNA from 1 species